GAUGAACGCUGACGGCGUGCCUAAUACAUGCAAGUCGAGCGAACGGACGAGAAGCUUGCUUCUCUGAUGUUAGCGGCUGACGGGCGAGUAACACGUGGAUAACCUACCUAUAAGACUGGGAUAACUUCGGGAAACCGGAGAUAAUACUGGAGAAUAUGUUGAACCGCAUGGUUCAAAAGUGAAAGACGGUUUUGCUGUCACUUAUAGAUGGAUCCGCGCUGCAUUAGCUAGUUGGUAAGGUAACGGCUUACCAAGGCAACGAUGCAUAGCCGACCUGAGAGGAUGAUCGGCCACACUGGAACUGAGACACGGUCCAGACUCCUACGGGAGGCAGCAGUGGGGAAUCUUCCGCAAUGGGCGAAAGCCUGACGGAGCAACGCCGCGUGAGUGAUGAAGGUCUUCGGAUCGUAAAACUCUGUUAUUAGGGAAGAACAUAUGUGUAAGUAACUGUGCACGUCUUGACGGUACCUAAUCAGAAAGCCACGGCUAACUACGUG
rnacentral:rRNA from 1 species